CUUUAUUGCCCUGUGCUUCAGUGGGGAGGGAAAUGAUGCCUCCAUUCAUUGUCCUCUCACCAUGGAAUGCACUACCUGUCUAGAAAACAUUGUAGUAGCUUAUUGUUGUAUGGCCAACAUACCUGCUGAACCAGAUCUGGCUGAAGUAUGACAGAUAAUGCAUUGUUGCGUUGUUGGGUUUUGAGUUUGCAAGAAUGGCACUUCACUGUACUUGUGCAUGUGACAUUGAAACUUUAAGCUAAUGUAUGGCAGUUUUAUCAGCAGAGUGAGAACCGUGUGUAUUAUUGUGUUACUGUGAUCAAAUCAUUUGUAGGUUCAAUGAAAUGUGUUUUCAGAUUGGCCCAUUCAUUUACUGAACAUACUGUAUAGAGUACAUGAUGUUUAAACUACACUAUUAUGCCCCUCUCUCUUUCUCUCAAGUGCAGUCAGUGCUUCAUGACUGUUGAUCGCUUUCAAUGUUUGCUGUAGCUUGUCUUAACUACAUAAGCUAACGUAUUGGCUAGCCCAGUCGAUUAGGAAUGGUCAACACAGGUCAAAUGCUGUACGCAGAUGGGUAUACACACUUUAAAACCCUCCUCCCUCCUCACUGUGCACUUUGACCUGGUGCUUUGUGCUCUCGUUUUAAUCCCCUAUUGACUUUGCUGUAGUUUAGAAGAGAUUUGACCUAUAAAGUUGGUGGGAAAUAAUGAUCUCAUGAACAUGGAUGUGGGAUUCCUUGAGCUCUCAGAAAUAAAGAGAUGCAGGUGUUCCCGUGGACGUUGCAUUGCACAGCAGUGGAGGGUGCAGGGCCAUGAAGUACAGCAGUGGAGGGGGCAUGACCACAGAGCUAUCCUGUGACAGGUAUGGCAGGCAGGGGCCUGGGAGGGGCCACAGAGCUCUCCUGUGACAGGUAUGGCAGGGUAGUAGCCUGGGAGAGGGAGGGGCCACAGAGCUCUCCUCUGACAGGUACGGCAAGGCAGGUGCCUGGGAGAGGGAGGGGCCAC
rnacentral:lncRNA from 8 species